GGUCGAAUGGUGUAGUGGCUUAUCACGUGUCGUUCACAAGUUUAUGUGAGCUCUCUCCGACAAGGUCCCCGGUUCGAUCCCGGGUUCGAUCA